GGCUUUUUGAAUAUAAUUUAAGGUCGGGCCUGCCCAAUGAUUAAAUUAAAUGGCCGCGGUAUAUUGACCGUGCAAAGGUAGCAUAAUCAUUAGUUUUUUAAUUGAAAGCUUGUAUGAAAGGUUUAAUGAGAAAAAUACUGUCUCUAUUUAAAUUUGUUAAAAUUUUAUUUUUAAGUAAAAAAGCUUAAAUAUGUAUUGAAGACGAGAAGACCCUAUAGAGUUUUAUAUUUUGUUUAGCAAAUAAUUAUUUAGAAUUUUAAAGGUUUGUUAAACAAAGUAUUUGAUUGGGGUGAUUAAAAAAUUAAUAAAACUUUUUUUGUAUUUUUACAUUGAUAAGUGAGUAAUUGAUCCUUUGUUUAAGAUUAGAAGAUAAAAUUACCUUAGGGAUAACAGCGUAAUUUUUUUUAGAGUUCUUAUCGAAAAGAAAGAUUGCGACCUCGAUGUUGGAUUAAAAUUAAAUUAUUGGUGUAGAGGCUAAUAAAUUAGGUCUGUUCGACCUUUAAAUUUUUACAUGAUCUGAGUUUAAACCGGUGUAAG
rnacentral:rRNA from 1 species